rnacentral:lncRNA from 1 species
GCCAUUCUUGUAUUACUACAAAGAAAUACCUGAGGCCGGGCAUGGAGGCUGACGCCUAUAAUCCUAAGCACUUUGGGAGACCAAGGAUCACUUGAGGUCAGGAGUUCAAGACCAGCCUGGACAACAUGGUGAAACCACAUCUCUCAUAAAAAUACGAAAAUUAGCCAGUCGUGGUGGCAUACACCUGUAGUCCCAGCUACUCAGGAGGCUGAACUGUGAACAACUAGUUUCAGUAUCUUCUCUAGCAUGCCAGGGUAAAAUGAAGCAAAAUAAAUAGAGGAAGUGCUAUAAUCUUUAUUGAGGAUCUACCAGGUGCCAGGAAAGAUGC